AGCGGCGGACGGGUGAGUAAUGUCUGGGAAACUGCCUGAUGGAGGGGGAUAACUACUGGAAACGGUAGCUAAUACCGCAUAACGUCGCAAGACCAAAGAGGGGGACCUUCGGGCCUCUUGCCAUCAGAUGUGCCCAGAUGGGAUUAGCUAGUAGGUGGGGUAAUGGCUCACCUAGGCGACGAUCCCUAGCUGGUCUGAGAGGAUGACCAGCCACACUGGAACUGAGACACGGUCCAGACUCCUACGGGAGGCAGCAGUGGGGAAUAUUGCACAAUGGGCGCAAGCCUGAUGCAGCCAUGCCGCGUGUGUGAAGAAGGCCUUCGGGUUGUAAAGCACUUUCAGCGAGGAGGAAGGUGGUGAGCUUAAUACGCUCAUCAAUUGACGUUACUCGCAGAAGAAGCACCGGCUAACUCCGUGCCAGCAGCCGCGGUAAUACGGAGGGUGCAAGCGUUAAUCGGAAUUACUGGGCGUAAAGCGCACGCAGGCGGUUUGUUAAGUCAGAUGUGAAAUCCCCGGGCUCAACCUGGGAACUGCAUUUGAAACUGGCAAGCUAGAGUCUCGUA
rnacentral:rRNA from 2 species